UGGUCUGGCUCUGUGUGGAAGACUAGUGAUUUUGUUGUUCUGAUUUAUAAAGGUGACAACAAAUCACAGCCUGCCAUACAGCACAGAUCU
rfam:Colinus virginianus strain Texas jcf7180006212945, whole genome shotgun sequence.